rnacentral:rRNA from 1 species
CCUGGUGGUUAUGGCGGAGCGGCUGCACCCGAUCCCAUUCCGAACUCGGCCGUGAAACGCUCCAGCGCUGAUGGUACUUCGUCUNAAUCUUCUCUCUACGAAAAGGCCCGCCAAGG